rnacentral:rRNA from 1 species
CUGGCCUACGGGAGGCAGCAGUAGGGAAUCUUCCACAAUGGACGAAAGUCUGAUGGUGCAACGCCGCGUGAGUGAAGAAGGGUUUCGGCUCGUAAAGUUCUGUUGGUAGUGAAGAAAGAUAGAGGUAGUAACUGGCCUUUAUUUGACGGUUAUUACUUAGCAAGUCACGGCUAACUACGUGCCAGCAGCCGCGGUAAUACGUAGGUGGCAAGCGUUGUCCGGAUUUAUUG